rnacentral:rRNA from 1 species
UACGUAGGGUGCGAGCGUUAAUCGGAAUUACUGGGCGUAAAGGGUGCGCAGGCGGAUAUGUAAGUUAGAUGUGAAAUACCCGAGCUUAACUUGGGAGCUGCAUUUAAGACUAUAUAUCUAGAGUUUAUCAGAGGGUGGUAGAAUUCCAAGUGUAGCAGUGAAAUGCGUAGAGAUUUGGAGGAAUACCAAUGGCGGAGGCAGCCACCUGGGAUAAAACUGACGCUCAGGCACGAAAGCGUGGGGAGCAAACAGG